rnacentral:rRNA from 1 species
GGGUUGUGAGGUUAAGCGACUAAGCGUACACGGUGGAUGCCCUGGCAGUCAGAGGCGAUGAAGGACGUGCUAAUCUGCGAUAAGCGUCGGUAAGGUGAUAUGAACCGUUAUAACCGGCGAUUUCCGAAUGGGGAAACCCAGUGUGUUUCGACACACUAUCAUUAACUGAAUCCAUAGGUUAAUGAGGCGAACCGGGGGAACUGAAACAUCUAAGUACCCCGAGGAAAAGAAAUCAACCGAGAUUCCCCCAGUAGCGGCGAGCGAACGGGGAGGAGCCCAGAGCCUGAAUCAGUGUGUGUGUUAGUGGAAGCGUCUGGAAAGGCGCGCGAUACAGGGUGACAGCCCCGUACACAAAAAUGCACAUGCUGUGAGCUCGAUGAGUAGGGCGGGACACGUGGUAUCCUGUCUGAAUAUGGGGGGACCAUCCUCCAAGGCUAAAUACUCCUGACUGACCGAUAGUGAACCAGUACCGUGAGGGAAAGGCGAAAAGAACCCCGGCGAGGGGAGUGAAAAAGAACCUGAAACCGUGUACGUACAAGCAGUGGGAGCACAGAGCAAUCUGUGUGACUGCGUACCUUUUGUAUAAUGGGUCAGCGACUUAUAUUCUGUAGCAAGGUUAACCGAAUAGGGGAGCCGAAGGGAAACCGAGUCUUAACUGGGCGUUAAGUUGCAGGGUAUAGACCCGAAACCCGGUGAUCUAGCCAUGGGCAGGUUGAAGGUUGGGUAACACUAACUGGAGGACCGAACCGACUAAUGUUGAAAAAUUAGCGGAUGACUUGUGGCUGGGGGUGAAAGGCCAAUCAAACCGGGAGAUAGCUGGUUCUCCCCGAAAGCUAUUUAGGUAGCGCCUCGUGAAUUCAUCUCCGGGGGUAGAGCACUGUUUCGGCAAGGGGGUCAUCCCGACUUACCAACCCGAUGCAAACUGCGAAUACCGGAGAAUGUUAUCACGGGAGACACACGGCGGGUGCUAACGUCCGUCGUGAAGAGGGAAACAACCCAGACCGCCAGCUAAGGUCCCAAAGUCAUGGUUAAGUGGGAAACGAUGUGGGAAGGCCCAGACAGCCAGGAUGUUGGCUUAGAAGCAGCCAUCAUUUAAAGAAAGCGUAAUAGCUCACUGGUCGAGUCGGCCUGCGCGGAAGAUGUAACGGGGCUAAACCAUGCACCGAAGCUGCGGCAGCGACACUGUGUGUUGUUGGGUAGGGGAGCGUUCUGUAAGCCUGUGAAGGUGUGCUGUGAGGCAUGCUGGAGGUAUCAGAAGUGCGAAUGCUGACAUAAGUAACGAUAAAGCGGGUGAAAAGCCCGCUCGCCGGAAGACCAAGGGUUCCUGUCCAACGUUAAUCGGGGCAGGGUGAGUCGACCCCUAAGGCGAGGCCGAAAGGCGUAGUCGAUGGGAAACAGGUUAAUAUUCCUGUACUUGGUGUUACUGCGAAGGGGGACGGAGAAGGCUAUGUUGGCCGGGCGACGGUUGUCCCGGUUUAAGCGUGUAGGCUGGUUUUCCAGGCAAAUCCGGAAAAUCAAGGCUGAGGCGUGAUGACGAGGCACUACGGUGCUGAAGCAACAAAUGCCCUGCUUCCAGGAAAAGCCUCUAAGCAUCAGGUAACAUCAAAUCGUACCCCAAACCGACACAGGUGGUCAGGUAGAGAAUACCAAGGCGCUUGAGAGAACUCGGGUGAAGGAACUAGGCAAAAUGGUGCCGUAACUUCGGGAGAAGGCACGCUGAUAUGUAGGUGAAGUCCCUCGCGGAUGGAGCUGAAAUCAGUCGAAGAUACCAGCUGGCUGCAACUGUUUAUUAAAAACACAGCACUGUGCAAACACGAAAGUGGACGUAUACGGUGUGACGCCUGCCCGGUGCCGGAAGGUUAAUUGAUGGGGUCAGCGCAAGCGAAGCUCUUGAUCGAAGCCCCGGUAAACGGCGGCCGUAACUAUAACGGUCCUAAGGUAGCGAAAUUCCUUGUCGGGUAAGUUCCGACCUGCACGAAUGGCGUAAUGAUGGCCAGGCUGUCUCCACCCGAGACUCAGUGAAAUUGAACUCGCUGUGAAGAUGCAGUGUACCCGCGGCAAGACGGAAAGACCCCGUGAACCUUUACUAUAGCUUGACACUGAACAUUGAGCCUUGAUGUGUAGGAUAGGUGGGAGGCUUUGAAGUGUGGACGCCAGUCUGCAUGGAGCCGACCUUGAAAUACCACCCUUUAAUGUUUGAUGUUCUAACGUGGACCCGUGAUCCGGGUUGCGGACAGUGUCUGGUGGGUAGUUUGACUGGGGCGGUCUCCUCCUAAAGAGUAACGGAGGAGCACGAAGGUUGGCUAAUCCUGGUCGGACAUCAGGAGGUUAGUGCAAUGGCAUAAGCCAGCUUGACUGCGAGCGUGACGGCGCGAGCAGGUGCGAAAGCAGGUCAUAGUGAUCCGGUGGUUCUGAAUGGAAGGGCCAUCGCUCAACGGAUAAAAGGUACUCCGGGGAUAACAGGCUGAUACCGCCCAAGAGUUCAUAUCGACGGCGGUGUUUGGCACCUCGAUGUCGGCUCAUCACAUCCUGGGCUGAAGUAGGUCCCAAGGGUAUGGCUGUUCGCCAUUUAAAGUGGUACGCGAGCUGGGUUUAGAACGUCGUGAGACAGUUCGGUCCCUAUCUGCCGUGGGCGCUGGAGAACUGAGGGGGGCUGCUCCUAGUACGAGAGGACCGGAGUGGACGCAUCACUGGUGUUCGGGUUGUCAUGCCAAUGGCACUGCCCGGUAGCUAAAUGCGGAAGAGAUAAGUGCUGAAAGCAUCUAAGCACGAAACUUGCCCCGAGAUGAGUUCUCCCUGACCCUUUAAGGGUCCUGAAGGAACGUUGAAGACGACGACGUUGAUAGGCCGGGUGUGUAAGCGCAGCGAUGCGUUGAGCUAACCGGUACUAAUGAACCGUGAGGCUUAACCUUACAACGCCGAAGGUGUUU